rnacentral:rRNA from 1 species
UACGGGGGGGGGCAAGCGUUGUUCGGAAUUACUGGGCGUAAAGGGCUCGUAGGCGGCCAACUAAGUCGGAUGUGAAAUCCCCAGCUUAACCUGGGAACUGCAUCCGAUACUGGAUGGCUUGAAUCCGGGAGAGGGAUGCAGAAUUCCAGGUGUAGCGGUGAAAUGCGUAGAUAUCUGGAGGAAUACCGGUGGCGAAGGCGGGUC